UACGUAGGGGGCGAGCGUUGUCCGGAUUUAUUGGGCGUAAAGAGCGUGUAGGCGGCCAGGUAGGUCUGCUGUGAAAACUCGAGGCUCAACCUCGAGACGUCGGCGGAAACCAUCUGGCUAGAGUCCGGAAGAGGAGAGUGGAAUUCCUGGUGUAGCGGUGAAAUGCGCAGAUAUCAGGAAGAACACCUAUGGCGAAGGCAGCACUCUGGGACGGUACUGACGCUGAGACGCGAAAGCGUGGGGAGCGAACAGG
rnacentral:rRNA from 1 species